rnacentral:rRNA from 1 species
GGCGAUAAGGUUAAUAACCUUGUCGAUUGACGUUACCCGCAGAAGAAGCACCGGCUAACUCCGUGCCAGCAGCCGCGGUAAUACGGAGGGUGCAAGCGUUAAUCGGAAUUACUGGGCGUAAAGCGCACGCAGGCGGUCUGUCAAGUCGGAUGUGAAAUCCCCGGGCUCAACCUGGGAACUGCAUUCGAAACUGGCAGGCUAGAGUCUUGUAGAGGGGGGUAGAAUUCCAGGUGUAGCGGUGAAAUGCGUAGAGAUCUGGAGGAAUACCGGUGGCGAAGGC